rnacentral:misc_RNA from 1 species
GUUUGAUAUUGCGUUUGUGGGAAAUAAUUAUUUAACGCAACCAUUAGCUGUGGGGAAGUAAUGUAGGGUUUCUUGCGCUACGUUAAGGCCAAACUUCUUCGUCUGCCUAUUCUGUGCUCGGCCCUAUUGCUUAUUUAAUUUAAGCGUUGCUGGGAAUAAUUUCAAUAUGGAAUUUGGUUGAAACCUUCACAUAUCUUAAUGCUGUAAUGCUAUAUUUACGUUGUCACUUGUGUUUCUGUUAUCGCUUUUAAACUAAUGCGAAUCUAAUACCCACAAUGCUUACUAACCUCUGCAGUUGCCAAGUGCAGCACAUCAGAAGUGCUGCACUGAUGCUUGCUUUCUGAUCACUAACCGUCGCCACCUCUCCUUCAGAUAUAAUCCAAACGACAGCCUACUAGCACCCGGUUGUAGGUCUGGGGAUGAUUAUUUCCUGGAACGAUAAUGAAUGAUUUCACAAGGCCUACUGCAUACUAUGGGCAGUCAUCGGCCGUAUCGCGUAUGCAGCAGCAGUACUGGGCCACCAAGCAGGCAUUCUUGCGCAAGAUUGGUCGCAAGGAAGAUGACUGUAUUACUGCCAGUGAUGCUGAGCUCGAUGCCAAGCUCGAGCUCUUUGGGGCCAUCCAGGAUUCCUGUGCUAACUUGCUGCGGGUGCUGGAAAACUACCAAGACCGCCUAUUGGCACUUAGCCAAGAAGAAAAUGCAUUGGGACGGUUCCUGAAAGAGUGUGGAAAACAGGACAAGACCCGAGCUGGCAAAAUGAUGGGUGCAACAGGAAAGACAAUGAGCUACUCUGCACAGCAAAGGCUGACUCUACGUGUGCCUCUGGUGCGCCUUUAUCAGGAAGUGGAAACCUAUCAAUUUCGUGCUAUUGCCGACACUCUGGCUACAGUUGAGAAGAUGGAGCGAUCCAGGACUGACUAUCGGGGGGCUCUGCUUUGGAUGAAAGACAUCUCGCAACAGCUGGACCCUGACACAUACAAACAGUUGGAAAAGUUCCGAAAAGUGCAAGGGCAUGUGAAGCGGACCAAGAUUCAGUUUGAGAAGCUUAAACUGGACACACUACAGAAGGUCGACCUGCUUGCAGCUUCACGCUGCAACAUGUUUUCUCACGUGCUGGCCGCCUACCAGAAUGCACUACUCUCUUUCUGGGAAAAGACCUCCUCCACUAUGAGCAAUGUAGCGGAGAGCUUCAAAGGGUACCAGCAUUACGACUUUAUCGUAGUCAAGGAACUCCAAGAGCCAAGUAGAAAACUGGCUGAAAAAAUGGGCAAUGGUGAAGAAAAGGCCAGUAAAGAAGACGGCGACAAAGACAGGAUGCUGUUCUUUGAGUCGGAGUACCACGACGAUGACAGCAAGCGGGACGCACGAGCCAAAGAUAAAAAGCGCAAGAAGAAAGAGAAACCUCGGCAUGAUGGUGUGGCAGGCCUUGGUAGUAUAGCCAGUAACGAGGGGUCUCGACUGGACGCCGAUUCCAAGUCGCAGAGCAGCCUCGAUGAUGUGCCCCUGCUCAGCCUGGAUGAGUCCUCGUCAGAAGAACGGCCUCACUUUGCCUCCGCUGCGCUGUGCGACGCUGGCAAGUUGCCUCUCUGGCGAGAAGACCUGCUGACUCACAACCCUGAGAUCAGUGACUUGGAGAAGGACGACAUGACCUUGCUCGCAGAGAUCCUGGCCUCGUCUGAGUCGGUCUAUCCAGCUGCUUUUGAAGCAGGAGCACCUGAGGAUAGCUUUGCCCAGCAGUGGCAGACGGCCUUUGGCCAUCAACCACCUAGUCCACAGAAGAGCCUCUCCUUCGGUGGCUCGCUACUCACCAAGCCUGAGCCCCUGGCCAACCCUCCAGCUGCAACAGCCACCACGCUGCAACCAGCCCCAGCCAGCAAUGUCCCAUCACAGUUUCUUCCCUCACAGCUGCUUGACCUUGAAGAUGGCAUUGGACCACUUGAAAACAAGGGAAUGCCAUCUCAAAUGCUGGUCCCGAGCCUGGAGCCCAUUAAGCCUGUGUGUCAGGCGCCUGCUGCUGUGACUACACAGAAAGCCCAGCCAACACCGGGACCCAUGAGUAGACCAAGUCUCAAAAAGGAUAAGAGAGACAUGUCCGCAUGGUUUAACCUGUUUGCUGACCUGGACCCCCUGGCAAACCCGGAUGCCAUUGGAAAGAAGUCGACUGAACAAGACCGAAACUGCUGAAAGCCCUUGAGCAUUCUGAGAAGGGGAAGUACAAGUGCUUGAAGUGGAGCAGAAAGUAAAGUGCAGCAGUCACUUGCUUACCAUGAAACUGCCCAGCCAUAGUGGGAAUUAUUCCGAAGACUGGGAAGGGCUGGGGUUGUUCCAAGAAAAUUCGACGCAAGAAUGCUAAGCGAGUGGGGGCCAACACAUUAGCAGCACUCUCAAGGCAGACACUAGUAAAUGACUGACAUAAUGGCUGGGUAGUGAUGCCAACGGGGGGAUGGAGUUGCCGAAAUCAAUAAAAAUGCCUUGCUUCGAGGCCUUCAUACAUGCUCA